UGAGGAAUAUUGGUCAAUGGGCGAGAGCCUGAACCAGCCAAGUCGCGUGAAGGAAGACUGCCUUAUGGGUUGUAAACUUCUUUUAUACAGGAAUAAAAAGGCUUACGUGUAGGCCAUUGCAAGUACUGUAUGAAUAAGCAUCGGCUAACUCCGUGCCAGCAGCCGCGGUAAUACGGAGGAUGCGAGCGUUAUCCGGAUUUAUUGGGUUUAAAGGGUGCGCAGGCGGGCUUUUAAGUCAGCGGUGAAAUCUGGACGCUUAACGUCCAAACUGCCGUUGAAACUGGGAGUCUUGAGUAUGGAUGAAGUAGGCGGAAUUCGUUGUGUAGCGGUGACAUGCAUAGAUAUAACGAGGAACUCCGAUUGCGUAGGCAGCUUACUAAGCCAUAACUGACGCUCAUGCACGAAAGCGUGGGGAUCAAACAGGAUUAGAUACCCUGGUAGUCCACGCCGUAAAACGAUGAUUACUAGUUGUAUGCGAUAUGAUAGUAUGUGACUAAGCG
rnacentral:rRNA from 1 species